rnacentral:rRNA from 1 species
GGGGAAUAUUGCACAAUGGGCGCAAGCCUGAUGCAGCGACGCCGCGUGAGGGAUGGAGGCCUUCGGGUUGUAAACCUCUUUUGUUUGGGAGCAAGCCUUCGGGUGAGUGUACCUUUCGAAUAAGCGCCGGCUAACUACGUGCCAGCAGCCGCGGUAAUACGUAGGGCGCAAGCGUUAUCCGGAUUUAUUGGGCGUAAAGGGCUCGUAGGCGGCUCGUCGCGUCCGGUGUGAAAGUCCAUCGCUUAACGGUGGAUCUGCGCCGGGUACGGGCGGGCUGGAGUGCGGUAGGGGAGACUGGAAUUCCCGGUGUAACGGUGGAAUGUGUAGAUAUCGGGAAGAACACCGAUGGCGAAGGCAGGUCUCUGGGCCGUCACUGACGCUGAGGAGCGAAAGCGUGGGGAGCGAAC